rnacentral:rRNA from 1 species
ACGGCCGCGGGAUAUUCCACCGUGCAAAGGUAGCAUAAUCACUUGUCUCCUAAAUAGAGACUAGUAUGAAUGGCCAAAUGAAGAUUUACCUGUCUCUUGAAGCCUAUCUAUGAAACUGAUCUUUCAGUACAAAAGCUGAAAUUUAAACACAAGACGAAAAGACCCUGUGGAACUUAAAGCCACAGCCAACAAAAUGGACCUAUUGCUUUUAGUUGGGGCAACUUUGGAAAAAAACAAAACUUCCAAUAAACUAUCUAGGCAGACACGCCGACAUAAAAUAAACUAGACCCAGUACAACUGAUUAAAGAAAAAAGCUACCCCAGGGAUAACAGCGCCAUCCCCUCAUAGAGCCCCCAUCGACGAGCGGGGUUUACGACCU